ACACUCCUGCGGGAGGCAGCAGUGGGGAAUUUUGGACAAUGGGCGAAAGCCUGAUCCAGCAAUGCCGCGUGUGUGAAGAAGGCCUUCGGGUUGUAAAGCACUUUUGUCCGGAAAGAAAUCCUUGGCUCUAAUACAGUCGGGGGAUGACGGUACCGGAAGAAUAAGCACCGGCUAACUACGUGCCAGCAGCCGCGGUAAUACGUAGGGUGCGAGCGUUAAUCGGAAUUACUGGGCGUAAAGCGUGCGCAGGCGGUUUGCUAAGACCGAUGUGAAAUCCCCGGGCUCAACCUGGGAACUGCAUUGGUGACUGGCAGGCUAGAGUAUGGCAGAGGGGGGUAGAAUUCCACGUGUAGCAGUGAAAUGCGUAGAGAUGUGGAGGAAUACCGAUCGCGAAGGCAGCCCCCUGGGCCAAUACUGACGCUCAUGCACGAAAGCGUGGGGAGCAAACAGGAUUAGAUACCCGGGUAGUCCCA
rnacentral:rRNA from 1 species